rnacentral:rRNA from 1 species
AAUGAACGUUGGCGGCGUGGAUUAGGCAUGCAAGUCGAGCGGAAAGGCCCGCAAGGGUACUCAAGCGGCGAAAGGGAGAGUAACACGUAGGUUACCUACCCUCCGACCCGGGAUAGCUGAGGGAAACUUCAGGUAAUACCGGAUAACGUCUCCGGACCAAAGGUGUGAUUCCGUCGGGGGAGGGGCCUGCGUCCUAUUAGCUUGUUGGGGAGGUAACGGCUCACCAAGGCAAAGAUGGGUACGGGGUGUGAGAGCAUGCCCCGGCUCACUGGGACUGAGACACUGCCCCGACACCUACGGGUGGCUGCAGUCGAGGAUCUUCGGCAAUGGGCGCAAGCCUGACCGAGCGACGCCGCGUGCGGGAUGAAGGCCUUCGGGUUGUAAACCGCUGUCAGGGGGGAGGAAAUGCUACGGGGUUCUCCCCGUAGUUUGACCUAGCCUCAGAGGAAGUACGGGCCAAGUUCGUGCCAGCAGCCGCGGUAAUAC